GAAAUGCGAUAAGUAAUGUGAAUUGCAGAAUUCAGUGAAUCAUCGAAUCUUUGAACGCACCUUGCGCUCCUUGGUAUUCCUUGGAGCAUGCCUGUAUGAGUAUCAUGAAAUCUUCAAAGUAAAUCUUUUGUUAACUCAAUUGGUUUCUACUUUGGUAUUGGAGGUCUUUGCAGCUUCACACCUGCUCCUCUUUGUUCAUUAGCUGGAUCUCAGUGUUAUGCUUGGUUCCACUCGGCGUGAUAAGUUAUCUAUCGCUGAGGACACUGUAAAAGGUGGCCAAGGUAAAUGCAGAUGAACCGCUUCUAAUAGUCCAUUGACUUGGACAAUACUUUUAUGAUCUGAUCUCAAAUCAGGUAGGACUACCCGCUGAACUUAAGC
rnacentral:misc_RNA from 1 species